UGGAGGGCAAGUCUGGUGCCAGCAGCCGCGGUAAUUCCGGCUCCAAUAGCGUAUAUUAAAGUUGUUGCAGUUAAAAAGCUCGUAGUUGAAUUUCAGGCCUGGCUGGACGGUCCGCCCUUCGGGUGAGUACUGUCUGUGGUCGGGUCCUACCUUCUGGCGAAGCGUCAUGGCCUUAACCGGCCGUGGCGGGGAACCAGGACUUUUACUGUGAAAAAAUUAGAGUGUUCAAAGCAGGCAAUCGCUUGGAUACAUUAGCAUGGAAUAAUGGAAUAGGACAAUGGUUCUAUUUGUUGGUUUCUAGGACCGUUGUAAUGAUUAAUAGGGAUAGUUGGGGGCAUUAGUAUUCAAUUGUCAGAGGUGAAAUUCUUGGAUUUAUUGAAGACUAACUACUGCGAAAGCAUUUGCCAAGGAUGUUUUCAUUAAUCAAGAACGAAAGUUAGGGGAUCGAAGACGAUCAGAUACCGUGGUAGUCUUAACCAUAAACUAUGCCGACUAGGAAUCGGGCGAUGUUGACAAAAUGACGCGCUCGGCACCUCAUGGGAAAC
rnacentral:rRNA from 1 species